rnacentral:lncRNA from 1 species
AGAGGUAGGUGCUAUUAUCUACUCUAUUUUACAGAUAAAGAAACUGAGAUACUGAGAGAUUAAGUGAUUUCCCCAGGGUCACACAGCUGUUAAGUGUCUGAGACCAAUUUAUCAGAAUAUCUCUGAUGAAAGACUUUUGGAGAAUGACAACAAAAAGCUUCAGAAAGAGGACUUGGGUUGAAGCCCUGAUCUACAUACAUAGUUGUCUGUCCAUUAAGGGAAAGUGUCCUUACAAAAAGAUAUCAACAGUGUGGAAUGACAGAGACCAAGGAGGACACCUGAAACUCUUAACCUGCCAGACAAGACUCAAGAUCUGGCAGAUGGUCUAUGUCAGGAGUGGACAGAGGAAUUUCUUUUCUUGUCCCUGGUGAUACUACACUACAGGUUUUGCUACACUUUACUCAAUUUCGCUUGGAG